rnacentral:lncRNA from 1 species
UUUUUCCAGGCUUCGGGCCUUGGCUUGUACAGAAUAUUUAUGUUAUGUAAAUCAUUACCUUUUGCAUGCUUGUGCUUUUCGGUUUCUAUUGUGCUCUAUUUAACCGUGGUUUUUAGCCAGUUGAGAGUUGAGGAAAGCUAGGGUUUGCUUUCGAGUCUUGCAGUUUGCAUGGUUUGUCUGCUACAAAGAGCAAUAAAUAAUAUUU